ACCUGGGAUAGCUCAGUCAGUAGAGCAUGAUAACAUUUAAUCUCAGGGUUGUGGGUUCGAGCCCCAUGUUGGAUA